UUGGUGGCCGAAUGUCUAGAGCAUUCGACUUCCAAUCCAAAGGUGUGAGUUCGAAUCCCACCUGA
rfam:Culex pipiens quinquefasciatus supercont3.111 genomic scaffold, whole genome shotgun sequence.